GACGAAGGGGGCUAGCGUUGUUCGGAAUUACUGAGCGUAAAGCGCGUGUAGGCGGUUAUCCAAGUCAGGUGUGAAAGCCUUGAGCUCAACUCAAGAAAUGCACUUGGUACUGGGUGACUAGAGGACCGGAGAGGAUAGUGGAAUUCCCAGUGUAGUGGUGAAAUACGUAGAGAUUGGGAAGAACACCAGUGGCGAAGGCGGCUAUCUGGACGGUUUCUGACGCUAAGACGCGAAAGCGUGGGGAGCAAACAGG
rnacentral:rRNA from 1 species